rnacentral:rRNA from 1 species
AGAGUUUGAUCCUGGCUCAGGACGAACGCUGGCGGCGUGCUUAACACAUGCAAGUCGAACGGAAAGGCCCUGCUUUUGUGGGGUGCUCGAGUGGCGAACGGGUGAGUAACACGUGAGUAACCUGCCCUUGACUUUGGGAUAACUUCAGGAAACUGGGGCUAAUACCGGAUAGGAGCUCCUGCUGCAUGGUGGGGGUUGGAAAGUUUCGGCGGUUGGGGAUGGACACGCGGCUUAUCAGCUUGUUGGUGGGGUAGUGGCUUACCAAGGCUUUGACGGGUAGCCGGCCUGAGAGGGUGACCGGCCACAUUGGGACUGAGAUACGGCCCAGACUCCUACGGGAGGCAGCAGUGGGGAAUAUUGCACAAUGGGCGGAAGCCUGAUGCAGCAACGCCGCGUGCGGGAUGACGGCCUUCGGGUUGUAAACCGCUUUCGCCUGUGACGAAGCGUGAGUGACGGUAAUGGGUAAAGAAGCACCGGCUAACUACGUGCCAGCAGCCGCGGUGAUACGUAGGGUGCGAGCGUUGUCCGGAUUUAUUGGGCGUAAAGGGCUCGUAGGUGGUUGAUCGCGUCGGAAGUGUAAUCUUGGGGCUUAACCCUGAGCGUGCUUUCGAUACGGGUUGACUUGAGGAAGGUAGGGGAGAAUGGAAUUCCUGGUGGAGCGGUGGAAUGCGCAGAUAUCAGGAGGAACACCAGUGGCGAAGGCGGUUCUCUGGGCCUUUCCUGACGCCGAGGAGCGAAAGCGUGGGGAGCGAACAGGCUUAGAUACCCUGGUAGUCCACGCUGUAAACGGUGGGUACUAGGUGUGGGGUCCAUUCCACGGGUUCCGUGCCGUAGCUAACGCUUUAAGUACCCCGCCUGGGGAGUACGGCCGCAAGGCUAAAACUCAAAGGAAUUGACGG